UCGAUUUGAAUGAAAUUGUAUCGUACGUGACUACGGAGUGGUUCGCAUUAAGGAACGUUCGUGGAAAACGCGCGAUCACACGUCUGUCAUUUGGCCGGCGCUUUCUCAUUCCGCCGGCAUUAACAUUAAUAAGUCGUUAGAUCGGUCGCCUGUCACGUCACGGCUAUCGUGAUUCUUACCCACCACGUUCACUUUGUUCAUUUUUUACGAGGAAUGAGCACCCAAACUGUACUUUAAAGAGAGGAAAAGAGAGAGAAAGAGGAUAGAUAUCAUCGCAGGUUAGAUUCUCCGGACGGUUUUCCCACGAGUGGAAAGAAGGAAGAGGCAUCGCCACCAGACAUUGUUACAAACCCCUAUGCAAACUAUGAUCGUCAUUGUGUGCCGUACCAUUGGUAAGAAAUUAACGGCAUUUCCGUUCUGAAUCCUAUCCUCGGAAUUCGUUCCACCUUGGUUCGAUCUGGGGGAGAAUCGUGUCCCGGAAAACGCUCUUCCUCGACCAUUUCGAUGUCGAUGAUGGUGUCGCGACUCGAAAUGUGGCCAUUCCUCUCUCGAUGAACGCUUCAGAAACGGGACGAUUAUAUCAAUCGAUAUUUUAAUAUUGAAAGCAUCAAUGGGAGGGAUGGAUUUUUUUUUCUUUGAGCGAAUCAGAAGCGAAAAUUCGGAUCACAGUGGCGAAAUUGGGAGUGGAUGUUUAUCCCCGAUUCUUGACUCGAUUAAGGAGGGGCCCAAUAAUUGAAUAAGAUGGGCCGAUUGCGGGGAAUUCACGAGGGAGAGCGGCAAAAAACGGCUAACUUCCUCGGUGUCUUGAUCAGCCAAUUAAGAGUCCAACUACCGGCCCCCCUAUCCCCGCUUUCGAGAAUGAAAUACUUUCGCGAAAUCGCUUUUACGCGUUCCUUUCCUUGCAUCUCGAUGUAUAUAUUCCUCUAAACGAAAUUUUCAAAUGGGGAAAUAAUCCAAAAAUUCAUCACUGGUUCGUGAAUGAGAAAGGAAAAAAUUAUGAGAUAUCAAAGUCUGCAAAGUUGAACACCGUGGCUGAAAUUCAAAAAUCAAUCCCAAGGUUUAGAAGGAAUUUUGAUUAUUCUAAUAAUAAUUAUAAAUAAAUCGCGUAGCAAAAAUG